GGCACCUGAUCUUAUGCCGGUGAGUGAAAAGCUCGGGUUGAAGCUCUUUUGUCAGGAAGAAACGGUCUGCUAAUAUCCAGAGCUAAUGACGGACCUGAAGAAUAAGCACCGGCUAACUACGUGCCAGCAGCCGCGGUAAUACGUAGGGUGCAAGCGUUAAUCGGAAUUACUGGGCGUAAAGCGUGCGCAGGCGGUUAUGUAAGACUGUCGUGAAAUCCCCGGGCUCAACCUGGGAAUGGCGACGGUGACUGCAAGGCUAGAGUAUGGCACAGGGGGGUAAAAUUCCACGUGUAGCAGUGAAAUGCGUAGAUAUGUGGAGGAACACCGAUGGCGAAGGCAGACCCCUGGGUCAAAACUGACGCUCAUGCACGAAAGCGUGGGGAGCAAACAGGAUUAGAUACCCUGAGUAGUCCAAGCCCUAAACGAUGUCUAAUAGUAGUCACGGGUCUCUAAAAGACCUGAGUAACGCAGCUAACGCCGUUGCAGUAAACCGCCUGGUGAAGUACGGUCCGCAAGAU
rnacentral:rRNA from 1 species